rnacentral:misc_RNA from 1 species
GAUGAAGAACGCAGCAAAAUGCGAUACUUGGUGUGAAUUGCAGAAUCCCGUGAACCAUCGAGUUUUUGAACGCAAGUUGCGCCCGAAGCCUUUUGGCCGAGGGCACGUCUGCCUGGGUGUCACGCAUCGCGUCGCCCCCCACAAUUCUCCGUAAAGGGAACGUGUGUUUUGGGGGCGGAUAUUGGUCUCCCGUGCUCAUGGCGUGGUUGGCCGAAAUAGGAGUCCUUUCGAUGGACGCACGAACUAGUGGUGGUCGUAAAAACCCUCGUCUUUUGUUUCGUGCUGUUGCUCGCAAGGUAAACUCUUUAAAAACCCCAAUGUGUCGUCUCUUGACGACGCUUCGACCGCGACCCCAGGUCAGGCGGGACUACCCGCUGAGUUUAAGCAUAUCAAUAAGCGGAGGA